GACCUAGUGGUGAAUGGAUCAUACCUGCUCCUCUUUGGCUUGAGUUCUCUGAGAAAUUACAGCAGGAGGCCCCGGUUCGAUUCCGGGCUAGGUCA